rnacentral:rRNA from 1 species
AGAGUUUGAUCAUGGCUCAGAUUGAACGCUGGCGGCAGGCCUAACACAUGCAAGUCGAGCGGAUGACGGGAGCUUGCUCCUGGAUUCAGCGGCGGACGGGUGAGUAAUGCCUAGGAAUCUGCCUGGUAGUGGGGGACAACGUUUCGAAAGGAACGCUAAUUCCGCAUACGUCCUACGGGAGAAAGCAGGGGACCUUCGGGCCUUGCGCUAUCAGAUGAGCCUAGGUCGGAUUUGCUUGUUGAUGAGGUAAUGGCUCUUCAACGGGACGCUCCUUAGCCCAUGUUUGCGGAUUCUCUGUCCCUCGUUUUCCGGGAC